UGUUCCUGGCAUGGAGCUUGCCACACCCAAAAGCCCCACUUCCAUUCAAUGGGGACAGGAACUUCUUUCAACACAUUGUGCUGGCAUGACUGGGUAUCCUAUGGAAAGCCACAGACCUGACUUCCUACACAACUCCGUGCACAGAAAGGAUUCGAGAUAGAAGAUGGAUUCGAGCAGGGGACAUCGGGCGCAGUUUUCACGGCCUGGUGGGGGUCUACCACGUGACUAACCACAUGCCAGAAGAGAAGAGGUCAAGAGAAUCCCACCUGCAUGAUGGGGGACAUUCUAGAGUGGAGAGGGGUCCUAGGGAAACACCUGCCAUUCUAGGGUGGAGAGGCACUAGGGGCAAGGUCUCGAAUUGAACGUUUCCCAUUGCUAGGUGUCGGGGUGUUCUGCUCUGGUGACCUUCUGUACCUGGUUCAUUGUCCUUGCUCUGCUCAUGUCUGUCUGACUACCUACAACACUGUCACAUGGUUACCAUUUCUUUUUUUGUGGUGAGAACACUUAAGAUCUAGUCUUAGCAAAAUUCAAGUAUAUGAUACAGUACUAAUGAAUUAUUACCUGUAUCUAUAUUUACAUAGAUAUAUUGCUGUACAUUAGAUCCCCAGAACUUAUUAAUCUUUUAGCUGGAAGUUUGUAUCCUUCGACCAAUAUCUCCCCAUUAUCCCCACCCCCUAACCCCUCAUAACCAACACUCUAACUCUGUUUCUCUGAGUUUGACUUUUUAGACUCCACAUAUAAAUGAUAUCAUACAGUA